rnacentral:lncRNA from 1 species
GUAAUCAGGACUAGAAAUGAAUGAUUUUUAUUUCUUUAUCUGAAGAACCAAGGGAUUAAUACUGACACUCAAUAUUUUGUCUUCAUAGGUUUAAUCAUACUUCUAAAUAUUUUAUCCUCGACAGAUAUAAAGCAGACAGAACAAUCUAAAGCCACAUAGUAAUGGUUCCAUAGAGUUCAACUUAAAGGCAAACUCUGAGAGGUAGGUUAAGAGAUGAAAAGAGUAGGAGAGUCUCUUUUCUCAAUUAAAUGAGAAGUCACUUUAAUUGAACCUCAAACAGUUGUGUUUUUAUUUAUAGCACUUUACAAAUAUAAUGCAAAUUUAUCAGUUGUACUAUGUGAAUGAUUUUGGAAUUUUAUCUCAUGCCACAGCAUAUGUUACAUAACAGCCAAAUGGAAAAUGUACCUCAAAAGGGGGGAAAUGAGGGCUUUCACAUAAAUUGACUGUCCAUAACUCAUGUAAAAUUUAUUUCAAUAAAACCAGUCUUUUGUGCAAAAAAAACCCCUUAAAUCGAUGUUACAUAAAAAUAACUGAAAAAGUACUGAAUACAUUGAUAUGUAAUUAUUUCGUAUUAUAUAACAUCCCAUAAUG